AACGAACGUUGGCGGCAGGCCUAACACAUGCAAGUCGAACGAAGUCUUCGGACUUAGUGGCGGACGGGUGAGUAACACGUGGGAACGUGCCUUUAGGUUCGGAAUAACUCAGGGAAACUUGUGCUAAUACCGAAUGUGCCCUCCGGGGGAAAGAUUUAUCGCCUUUAGAGCGGCCCGCGUCUGAUUAGCUAGUUGGUGAGGUAAAGGCUCACCAAGGCUACGAUCAGUAGCUGGUCUGAGAGGAUGACCAGCCACAUUGGGACUGAGACACGGCCCAAACUCCUACGGGAGGCAGCAGUGGGGAAUCUUGCGCAAUGGGCGAAAGCCUGACGCAGCCAUGCCGCGUGGAUGAUGAAGGUCUUAGGAUUGUAAAAUCCUUUCACCGGUGAAGAUAAUGACUGUAGCCGGAGAAGAAGCCCCGGCUAACUUCGUGCCAGCAGCCGCAGUAACAC
rnacentral:rRNA from 1 species